GACGAACGCUGGCGGCGUGCCUAAUACAUGCAAGUAGAACGCUGAAGGAGGAGCUUGCUUCUCUGGAUGAGUUGCGAACGGGUGAGUAACGCGUAGGUAACCUGCCUGGUAGUGGGGGAUAACUAUUGGAAACGAUAGCUAAUACCGCAUAAUAGCAGUCGUUGCAUGAUAACUGUUUGAAAGGUGCAAUUGCACCGCUACCAGAUGGACCUGCGUUGUAUUAGCUAGUUGGUGGGGUAACGGCUCACCAAGGCGACGAUACAUAGCCGACCUGAGAGGGGGUUCGGCCACGCUGGUACUGAGACACGGCCCAGACUCCUACGGGGAGCGGCAGUAGGGGAUCUUCGGCAAUGGACGGAAGACUGACCAAGCAACGCCGAGUGAGUAAAGGAGGCGUUCGGUGCGUAAAGCUAUGUUGUAAGUGAAGAACGAGUGUGAGUGUGGAAAGUUCACCCUGUUACGGUAGCUUACCAGGAAGAUACGGCUAACUACGUG
rnacentral:rRNA from 1 species